rnacentral:rRNA from 1 species
UGGGGAAUAUUGGACAAUGGGCGAAAGCCUGAUCCAGCCAUGCCGCGUGUGUGAAGAAGGUCUUCGGAUCGUAAAGCACUUUAAGUUGGGAGGAAGGGCAUUAACCUAAUACGUUAGUGUCUUGACGUUACCGACAGAAUAAGCACCGGCUAACUUCGUGCCAGCAGCCGCGGUAAUACGAAGGGUGCAAGCGUUACUCGGAAUUACUGGGCGUAAAGCGUGCGUAGGUGGUCGUUUAAGUCUGUUGUGAAAGCCCUGGGCUCAACCUGGGAACUGCAUCCAAAACUGGCAAGCUAGAGUAUGGUAGAGGGUGGUGGAAUUUCCUGUGUAGCGGUGAAAUGCGUAGAUAUAGGAAGGAACACCAGUGGCGAAGGCGACCACCUGGACUGAUACUGACACUGAGGUGCGAAAGCGUGGGGAGCAAACA